UACGUAGGGUGCAAGCGUUACUCGGAAUUACUGGGCGUAAAGCGUGCGCAGGCGGUUGUGCAAGACAGAUGUGAAAUCCCCGGGCUCAACCUGGGAACUGCAUUUGUGACUGCACGGCUGGAGUGCGGCAGAGGGGGAUGGAAUUCCGCGUGUAGCAGUGAAAUGCGUAGAUAUGCGGAGGAACACCGAUGGCGAAGGCAAUCCCCUGGGCCUGCACUGACGCUCAUGCACGAAAGCGUGGGGAGCAAACAGG
rnacentral:rRNA from 1 species